rnacentral:rRNA from 1 species
AAAUGACUCUCGGCAACGGAUAUCUCGGCUCUUGCAUCGAUGAAGAACGUAGCGAAAUGCGAUACUUGGUGUGAAUUGCAGAAUCCCGUGAACCAUCGAGUCUUUGAACGCAAGUUGCGCCCAAAGCCAUUAGGCUGAGGGCACGCCUGCCUGGGUGUCACAC